CUGCAUUGACAACAUCAUGCUGACAGGACAGGAAGAAAUAGACUUUGCCCAGAAUGCUUGUAUCAGAGAGAUUAUUCCCUGUGUUAUCAGCUACACAGGGAAGAUCUGAAUGAGUUGAUGGGAAAUGCUCCUCCUGGGUGAACAUUUGACUGAUACAAGCCUAUGAUCAUCCACUUCACCUCGAAGGCAUGGUCUGAGGGGAGUCAUCCAGCGACCUUGUGGCAUGUUAGUACUAUGGACCCUUCAUCACGGCCGGAGCAGCAACUUGUGCUCAGUGGAACACAUGCCUUCCAGAUUUGGAUUUGAUUUCCCAUGCACUGUGCUUUUGCUUGUCCCUGCUACUAAAUGUCUUACUGGAGUUCUUGGCAGCUACAGAAUCGACCAAAGAAUCGAAUGGCUGUGCACAAGAAUUCUGCCUUAUCCUGCUCUCGGUCCCGGGAGAACAUUGAAAGAGUCACAGGAAACCUUCAAGUCAGUCUGUACCUGAGUUCUACUUCACGCUCACAAUUACACUUGUAUAUCGAUGGGACCUGAGUUCACAUGUGUAGAUGGAGACGGAAGGUGGAAAUAACUUUGCUAAGACGCAGGCAAAGCUACGGUGCCGGCUGUGUAAACUGAAUUCACUCGUGCCUGAAACACAGUUUGCUUAGUCCGGCCUCCUCCCUGACGGAAGUUGAAAGACCUGCUGCAUUUGCUUUCCACGACUGCCUGUUUUCAUCCUGGUAAAUUAAGGACAACCCCAGAAGUGACAACACUUUACAAGAAGGCAAUUUAAGGAAGGCUGGAGGGACUGGCCCACGUUUCGCCUGGGUGACAUGGAGGCCUUUAUGCAAUUAUUGGUUGUAAUUAGGGUCCCAAAGAGACUGACCACCGUGUGUCCCACCUGAGCAUUGAGCAUGUCCUAGAAUUCUAGGUAGUGCUGGAGCUGCGGAUUUCCGUUUGCAGUUAAAUUGCUAGAAGGUGCAGUUGUCAUUUGGAUGUCUCAGUUCAUACCAUCAGAAGAAUGUUGGGCAUUUCUCUUGCUGUUGUAGGCAUCCCAAGCCCCUGAACUGGUUUUCCUACCAUUAAAUUGGAAGCCAUUCUUGACAAGAAAAGUAGAGAGACUGCUCUCUGCUUUUCUUUCUAAGAUUACAAAGUAAUUAUCUUUGACACAUACCUCUCCCAUCUCUCAAUCGAGUCAAGAUCACAGUUUAUUUCUCCUUUGUAAAUCACUACAUCGAACUCUUUCUCCAGGCCCUCAUAUUUCCUUUUAUCCUUAACUCCUGAGUAGCCACCUAAAAUGUCACAUUAGGAGCAUAUUGAGAUAAACAGGAAAUGGAAGAGUCAGUCCCCGUGAUCAAGUUGUCACCCCACUAUAUUCUGAGCAACAUGUAAAGAUGGGAAAACCUGGAUCGCUUUGGUUUUAAUAAAAGGGGGAAUUCUAAAUGUG